rnacentral:lncRNA from 1 species
CGAUCAGGACAAAAUCAGCUGUGCCCAGCUCCUCGCACCAAAUCAACCACACGAGGUGACCGAAUCCACUUCUCUCCCCCACCUCAGGGGAGAUAGAUGCUGAAUCCCUGAAGCGCUGCACUGGGAUUUGUGGCUGUUUCUUGGGACAGCUUGCACCAUGCCAGGGUGGCUCAGCAGCCCAGCUAGCGCUCGAUCCGGCACAGCAGUGUGAAGGCCAGGUACCAUAGCAGAAAAAUUCCAGGACCUCAGCCGAGGGUUCGAAGACAUGCAAUCCCAUUACAUGUCCCAUGAAUACAAGUCACCCCAGCCGGUGCUACCAUAGGCAAGAGGAACUUCUCUCCUUUGCCUCCUGGCAAGGCACAGCAGGAAUGCACGCAGAGGUGACUACGGCCCCUGGAAAACCUCUCACUGGUGUGGGACCAGGUCCAUACACAGUAGGAACCACUCUGUGCCCUAGUGCACACGCAGGUGUUUCAGCUCCAGUAAGGAGAAGAUGGAUGCAGGGAACAAGAGGGUGGAUGGACUGGUACCCAAAGCCUUUCUGUGCUCAGCCAAGGCAGGAGCUGCCAUCACCAACGAGCUGCUGCAGGAGCUCUCCCACUUCCAGAUGUCACUCUUGGCCAGCAGAGACCAGCUCCUCUGGGGACAUCCAGGGCCCCGUGGGCAUGUCCCUGUGUAAGGCCCUGAUGCAUCACUUCCCCAGGAACAUUCUGCUCUGGCAGAGCUUGCCCAAAGGGUUUGUUCUCCCCUUCUGCACCUUUUCAAACCAGCCCUAAGAACUGAAUGCGCCCAGCUCUGUAGCUUCUGCUUGCACACAAACACACUCAAGUUGGGCUCUGUAAUUUGCUGUGCACACAAGUCAGAAAGAUGGAUGGUUAGCUGCCUACAUGAUGGUUUCUAGAUAUCCCUGUCGUGUCCCUUAAUCAUACACUAUAUCAAACAAACAGUCCGCAUUCUUGGUACGGCCGUGGCAAUGUCUGACUGAUUCUCCCCGUUCAUAAAGCAGGGCAUUAUCUCUUCCCAUCUGCAAACAUAAAAAUCCCACAGUGUUAUUACACAACUGAUGCCAUCAUAAAAUUCUCCCCACGCCUUCCUCACCUCUCCCUUUCAUUUUUACGUUCCCAUCAAUCGGACUGAGACUUUCUACCUCUUCUGCAGCCUCUUGCCUUCCCCUCUGCCCCCUCUCAGGAGGGCUGACAGAGCAGGGGGGCACCUUGGGCUCUUUGUUUUUAAUGUCAAUACUGGGGGUUACCCCCGUGGCAUGUCGGCUGGGGUAGGAGCUGCCCCCCUCCCCAUCUUUGCAAUGUGUUUCCUCUUAGUUGCUCUGCACCCAGCAUAAAUCAGGGAGCUACAACAUUUUUUAUUUGGAGCAUCUGCUGGAACAGCAAUUAAUCACUGUCAGGCUAUCUGAAAAUAACCAUUAGUUUUUGUUUCAUUCUUUACUACAUAAGCAGAAGAGAUACAUCUCCAUCCCAGUUAUUAAUCCACUUGCUCUGUGGCCAGACUACACCUGGGAGCACACUUUUACCAGCUGAUCACAGGGAACAAGAGACAGAGUUCAGGUGGAGCUUAGCUGGAAAUAGGGACUGCCCGAGAAUGGAGGGAGAAAAAGCAGAGAAGGGACCAUGGCUGGGAAGAGGAGGAAGCCUUGCAGCUCUGCAAACAGAUGUUACUGUUUAACAGGACCCAUAAAAGGAAUGGCUACGAAGCUUCAAAAAAUGAUUUUCCCUUUGUUUGGUAGCUUUGAGCUCCUUAGGCAAUUAAUUAGAAGAUAUUCACGGAACAUAUCUUUUUCACAUUUAGGCACGCAGCCAAAAAGUGACCAUAAACUUGGCAUCCUAGGGUUCUCUAUUAAUUUACUCUCCAUGUUUUCAGAGCUGUGCACUCCUUUUUAAGGUCAGAACAUUUUUUCCCCUAAUUUCUAGGACCACAAAUUCUAUCUCAUGAGAUCUAAAAGAUUCAAGCUCUGUUUUUAAGCCCUAGAUUUCAUUGUCAGUAGACAGUGUCCUGUAAGUAAGACUUCCAAAAUAUUUCACAUUUCUAGUUCCUAAGUCACUUAGCUGGCUCUGACAAUUCCUUUGACACACAAAAUUUAGGCAGCGGCACCGUGGGACAUCCGCGCAGUAGCUAUCUGCUAGGUUCGGCUCCACACUGCCUUUAAAGUCAGGCGAUGGGAUUUAAAGCUGGAGACGGAGAAGACCUGCUGGGAAUGGACACAUCACAGCCACGGCUCUUCUUUGCAGAGCUACGGCUGCAUCUGGAACAUGUGCAGCGGGAGGGCGGUAACAAUACAACGUUCACAUGCAGUGUAUAUGCACUGUCAGGAUCUCUGCCAGUAUGUUGUGUGUAAAUAGGAGUAAAUAUGUAUAUAUGGGUGUGUGCCUGCAUGUGGAUUAGUGGCAGUGUGUUGCUACUAAGUGCAUACACAGAAAAUUAUGGAUUGAUAAUUAUAAAAGUAUUAAUCCCACUUAUCAGCAUGAAAACUGUAUGUGCAUACCUGAAGCUUUCCUGUCUACUGAAACUGGUUUUAUGAUUGUAAAAGUGGCUUCAUACAAACUCUACUUAUAAGUCUACAAAUACAUUUUAGCACAUCAAAUGAUUUGUAUUAUUUAUGCUUAUCUUGAUGCUGCAGAACACAGCCCCGUGCCCUGCCUUGUGCCGUGUCUGGCUCACAAGGACAUCGCUGCUGCUGCCAGGUAAUGGAGUUACUCCUCGAACUCCCAUCGUCUAAAAUAAUAAAUCCCCAGCCUCUGCUGACGCCCUGGCA